rnacentral:rRNA from 1 species
AGAGUUUGAUCAUGGCUCAGAUUGAACGCUGGCGGCAUGCCUUACACAUGCAAGUCGAACGGUAACAGGUCUUCGGAUGCUGACGAGUGGCGAACGGGUGAGUAAUACAUCGGAACGUGCCCGAUCGUGGGGGAUAACGAGGCGAAAGCUUUGCUAAUACCACAUACGAUCUACGGAUGAAAGCGGGGGAUCUUCGGACCUCGCGCGGACGGAGCGGCCGAUGGCAGAUUAGGUAGUUGGUGGGAUAAAAGCUUACCAAGCCGACGAUCUGUAGCUGGUCUGAGAGGAUGAUCAGCCACACUGGGACUGAGACACGGCCCAGACUCCUACGGGAGGCAGCAGUGGGGAAUUUUGGACAAUGGGCGAAAGCCUGAUCCAGCCAUGCCGCGUGCAGGAUGAAGGCCUUCGGGUUGUAAACUGCUUUUGUACGGAACGAAAAGCCUCUUCCUAAUAAAGAGGGGUCAUGACGGUACCGUAAGAAUAAGCACCGGCUAACUACGUGCCAGCAGCCGCGGUAAUACGUAGGGUGCAAGCGUUAAUCGGAAUUACUGGGCGUAAAGCGUGCGCAGGCGGUUUUGUAAGACAGAGGUGAAAUCCCCGGGCUCAACCUGGGAACUGCCUUUGUGACUGCAAGGCUGGAGUGCGGCAGAGGGGGAUGGAAUUCCGCGUGUAGCAGUGAAAUGCGUAGAUAUGCGGAGGAACACCGAUGGCGAAGGCAAUCCCCUGGGCCUGCACUGACGCUCAUGCACGAAAGCGUGGGGAGCAAACAGGAUUAGAUACCCCGGUA